rnacentral:tRNA from 1 species
UCCAGUCUGGCUCAGUUGGUAGAGCAUGGCACUUGCAAUGCCAGGGUUGUGGGUUCAAUUCCCACGGGGAA